rnacentral:rRNA from 1 species
AGGCCUUCUUGGUUGUAAAGCUCUUUAAGCAGGGAGGAGAGGCUAAUGGUUAAUACCCAUUACAUUAGACGUUACCUGCACAAUAAGCACCGGCUAACUCUGUGCCAGCAGCCGCGGUAAUACAGAGGGUGCGAGCGUUAAUCGGAAUUACUGGGCGUAAAGCGAGUGUAGGUGGCUCAUUAAGUCACAUGUGAAAUCCCCGGGCUUAACCUGGGAACUGCAUGUGAUACUGGUGGUGCUAGAAUAUGUGAGAGGGAAGUAGAAUUCCAGGUGUAGCGGUGAAAUGCGUAAAGAUCUGGAGGAAUACCGAUGGCGAAGGCAGCUUCCUGGCAUAAUAUUGACACUGAGAUUCGAAAGCGUGGGUAGCAAACAGGAUUAAAUACCCUGGUAGUCCACGCCGUAAACGAUGUCUACUAGCCGUUGGGGUCCUUGAGACUUUAGUGGCGCAGUUAACGCGAUAAGUAAACCGCCUGGGGAGUACGGCCGCA